GCUUUCUCCAUCAUCUUCGGCUUUAGAUGCCAUGAAAGUUAAUGUCCCAACUAGCUCCUCUUGAAAUCUCAUAAAUAAUUUUCUAGUAUAAAGCUCAGAUGCUUGUUUCUCCAUGGGAGAUGGGGUCUUCAAAACUGGUGAAGUAUUCAUUGUAUCAUAAUCUGCUUUCACUUCUUUCUCAUUUCGACUCUCUAGAGAUUUUUCAUACAGCUUAAAAAACUGGUUCAGAUUGGUUGAAGCAUUGACAUAACCAUCAAAGUACGAGUUCAUGCUAUCGCUUCGCUGGGUUAUGGACAUCUCUGCAAAAAAUGUGUCCCGCAAAUAUACUGGGACCCACUGCCUGCGAGCAGAAUAUAUUGUUUGAAGCCAUUCAUGAUCCCGGAGAUCAUAUCUAUCAACAAGUGACAACCAGCAAGAUUCAAAUUCCUCAAUUGACUCGGUCAAAUUAACACAUUUAUGAAAGUCCGCCUCAAAGUUUGGGUGUUUCAGAAACACAUGUGACAGCUUCUCCUGGCAUUUCUUAAAGAUAUGCCAUUUGCAAAAGCGAUGGCGAGUGUCUGGGAAAACCUGCAUGAUGGCUGAUCUUAUCACUGCGUCAUGAUCAGUGGUGAUUGACACUGGAUGGCGGCCAGACAUUGCUGUAAGCCAUGUAUUGAACAGCCAGACAAAGGAGGCUUCAGUUUCAUUUAUUAGGAAAGCACAACCAAACAAAACAGGCUGUCCAUGAUGAUUGACCCCUGUGAAUGGAGCAAAGGGCAACCGAUACCUGUUGGACCGGUAGGUUGUGUCAAAUGUAACAGUGUCACCAAAAUAAGUGUAGUUUGUCCUGGCCUUUGAUCAGCCCAGAACACAUUACCGGAAUACUGCUCUUCAUCCCCCUGCACAGCAUAAAAGAAAUUGGGAUUCUCAUUAUGCAUUUGCCUCAAAUAGUCCAAAAGCAGCUGGAUAUCUCCUUCUAAACUCCUCUGGCGAUUAUUUCUCAUGUAAUUCCGACAAUCAACCUCUGUAAAACCAACUUUACUAAUUCCACCAUACUCCUUUAUCAAGGCAGACAUAAUUCUACGAGGGCCCAUACCAGCAGCCUGCAAUGUAUCAAUCAAGGUCUUAGCAGGACCAGAUAUUUGUCUAUGAGAACGGAGGCAGUGCACCUGAUCAGG
rnacentral:misc_RNA from 1 species